CCUACGGGAGGCAGCAGUGAGGAAUAUUGGUCAAUGGACGGGAGUCUGAACCAGCCAAGUAGCGUGAAGGAUGACUGCCCUAUGGGUUGUAAACUUCUUUUAUAUGGGAAUAAAGUGUUCCACGUGUGGGAUUUUGUAUGUACCAUAUGAAUAAGGAUCGGCUAACUCCGUGCCAGCAGCCGCGGUAAUACGGAGGAUCCGAGCGUUAUCCGGAUUUAUUGGGUUUAAAGGGAGCGUAGGUGGAUUGUCAAGUCAGUUGUGAAAGUUUGCGGCUCAACCGUAAAAUGGCAGUUGAAACUGGCAGUCUUGAGUACAGUAGAGGUGGGCGGAAUUCGUGGUGUAGCGGUGAAAUGCUUAGAUAUCACGAAGAACUCCGAUUGCGAAGGCAGUUCACUGGACUGCAACUGACACUGAGGCUCGAAAGUGUGGGUAUCAAACAGGAUUAGAUACCCCAGUAGUC
rnacentral:rRNA from 1 species